AUUGAACGCUGGCGGCAUGCUUUACACAUGCAAGUCGAACGGUAACAGGCCGCAAGGUGCUGACGAGUGGCGAACGGGUGAGUAAUGCAUCGGAACGUGCCCAGUCGUGGGGGAUAACGCAGCGAAAGCUGCGCUAAUACCGCAUACGAUCUAUGGAUGAAAGCAGGGGGACCGUAAGGCCUCGCGCGAUUGGAGCGGCCGAUGUCAGAUUAGGUAGUUGGUGGGGCAAAGGCUCACCAAGCCAACGAUCUGUAGCUGGUCUGAGAGGACGACCAGCCACACUGGGACUGAGACACGGCCCAGACUCCUACGGGAGGCAGCAGUGGGGAAUUUUGGACAAUGGGCGCAAGCCUGAUCCAGCAAUGCCGCGUGCAGGAAGAAGGCCUUCGGGUUGUAAACUGCUUUUGUACGGAACGAAACGGUCCUGGUUAAUACCCGGGGCUAAUGACGGUACCGUAAGAAUAAGCACCGACUAACUCUGUGCCAGCCGCCGCAGUAACAC
rnacentral:rRNA from 1 species